rnacentral:rRNA from 1 species
UAGUACACUUAGAUUUAAUGAAUAAAAUACUAGAAUAUUAGAAGUUAUGUUCUUUAAAUUUAAAAAAUUUGGCGGUGUUUUAGUCUAGUUAGAGGAACCUGUUUUAUAAACGAUACAACACGCAUUAUUUUACUUGUUUUGGUUAAUCAGCUUGUAUACCGUCAUUAUAAGAUAAUUUAGGAGAAAAUAUUAUUGUAAUCAUAUUAUUGAGUAUAUUAGAUCAAGGUGCAGCUUAUAAACAAGUAAAUAUGGGUUACAAUAAAAUUUAUUUAUUAUGAAUUAAAUAUUGAAAUAUAAUUAUGAAGGAGGAUUUAAUUGUAAGAAAGGGAGUAGCAAGAUUUUCUGAUAUAAGCUCUAAAUUAU